UUUGAAAAGUAGAAUAGUACUCAAAGGGGCACUGAAAGUGAUGGUUAGGAGCACAACUUUGGAGUCAAAUGGCCAGAAAGUGAUCACUAAUAUGCCCAUUUUAUAGAUGGUCAUAUUAGUGAUCCAUAAAGGCUUUUGUGACGGUUAAAUUAAUAAAAAGUUUAGUAUGAAGCCUUGUAAGUUGGUAAAUAUUAGCUGCCCUUAUUACUGCCAUUACUAUGGUGGUUUAUAUCAUUUAACAUUGUUGACCGAGUGAGGUACAGUGUAGGCACUGGGUUUACUGAGCUGAAUGUUUCAGUGGAUGGGCAUCCUUGAAUGGAAGGAAUGUAGCAUUUCUAUUGAUAAACCAUAGUGAGCUACUAUUGUGAAGGUACCUCUUACUCAGAUGUGAUAUUCAUUCUGGCUGGAAAAGUGGAUUUCUGGCUGUUUAGUUAUCUACCAAACCAUCCCAAAACAUGGUGGCUUAAACCAACAGCAUUUUAUUAUUUCUUACAGUUCAGGGUGUAGCCUGGGUGAGAUCUGAGGAGGUACGAAGGUUCAAAUUGGCUUCACUGCCAUGGCUAUGGGCCAGAGGUUUGCUGGGGCUGUUGCCCAGGUCCUCAGUCCUCCAGUUGCCUUUUCCACUUAGCUGGGUGAGCUUCUCAAAGCAUGGUGGCUGCAGGCAAUUGGCGCUCUUUCCUGCCGGCUAGCUUCCUUCAGUCUUUUUUGUAUACAAUAGCCAUAUAAAAAGGAAGUCAGAGAUUACAUAGGAAAAAUUAUUAUGAUUUUACUUUGGUCCUAUUUCAACAAAUAUUGGGUUUUAGAGACAUGUAAUAAAAAUGGCUUUAAAUACUCUUUAGCAAGCAGCUGAAGAUUUGCCCCAGUUAGGAAGGAAACUACCAUUAUGGCUCUGAACAUACCCUGGCCUUGAGUAGGGUAAUUCUGGGAGCCUCCUGGGGCUUCCUGUUUGGGCAGGAGUUUGGGUUGUGGGGUGCUGUACCUUAUGAACUAACAAUGUAAUUGCUUUAAUAGCCAUAAAAUGCGAGCCUGACCCUCUCUCUCCCAAUAAUUUAUGCUGCCCUGGGUCCCACUUUACACUUCAUUGUGUUGGUAUUUGGGAGACAUGCUGCCAUGGUUGACAGCAGGAAUCCUGAGGCCCUGUGACCCACUUCCUUCCCUUAGCUGCAUCAGCUUGGGCAGAUCACUCACUUUGUUCAGUUUCUUCAUCUGGAAAAUAACAUGAGAAUAGGGAUAUGACUCAUAGGACUGAUGUGAGGAUUAGAUGAGAUAGUACACAUAAAACAUUUCAGCCCAGUGCCUGGCAUAAUGAGUAUUAUAUUCAGUGAUGUUAUUGUUAUUUUAAUAAUCAUUUUUGCUAGACUUCCAUAUAAGAUUUUCUGGUUCAGAGUGAACAGCUGGUACUCAGUGAGGUAGGUGAUGAUGAAACUGAGAGUCAGAGAGCUUAAGUAACUUAUCCCAUGUGGCACAAUACAUACAUGAUAGAACUAGCCAUCAGUCUCUGUCCUGACUCUUGUUCAUAUUAUUCCAUCACCCAGACCUCACAAAUAGUGUUAACCUGAUGGCAGGGGCAUAGGUGUUGGUUUGGGUUGUUAUAUGCCUCUUAUCAUCCUUGGGCAUGUUUAUCUAAAUGAUGCAAUAACCAUUCCAUUUUGGCCACAUGUGGCUUUGGGCAGGGAUACAGAUCAUCCUUUUUAUAACCCAAUGUUCUGCAUGAUCUAGGUGUUCAAUUAGUGUUGUUACCGGUGACAGUAACGGAUUAGAAGGCUUGUCUGAUUUACUUUGUGAUUCUUGAUUAAAUUUGGGUAACUUAAAAAAGAAGCCAUAAUGAAUGGAUGCCUUGUUCCUUUAAAUCAUUCUGAGUCUUCGGGCCAUUGCAACAUAGAAAAGAUUUAAUUUUAGAGAAUUAGGUUGCUGAAGCAAUCUAACUUCCUUCUCUUGAGAGCAGUGUGUGUGGAUGGCCUGGUGUAUUGGUCCCGCUGGUGGUCUGUGUGGUGUGCAUAUGGAAAGUGGAGCUGUGUGAACCCAUGCCUACGGGGCGUACGGGCUUGUGAAUGUCUGGGUGUGCUCACAAUCAUGUGGAGGCUGACGAAGAAUUACUCUUGGUAAGGUUUACUUGGCUAGUUAGAAUUUAGUAUAUGCCAGUAGUAGGUGAAAAAAAAUUGAGGGGGACCUAUUAUAGAUAUAAAGAAACCUAGCAACAAAAUAUAGUUUGUGGUUAAAUUUGGAUCCCUUGUUGAACAAACCAGUUAUAAAAAAAUGUUAUUGAGACAGUUGGGGAGAACUGAAUUUGGACUGGGUAUUAGAUUAUGUUAAGAAUUAUUAUUAAUUUUGUUGGAUAUAAUAGUGGUGUCACAGUUUUGUUCAAAGGAGAAGGGUCAUAUCAAACAGAAACAAAUAUUUAUGGAUGAAAUGAUUAGAUGUGUGAGGUCUGUUUUCAAAUACUGCAACAAACAAAAAACAAGCAAAGAGUUGGGAAGAAGGAUAACGGGAAAAAUAGUAGAAUAUCGAUUUUCAAGCUGAUUGUUGGGUAUAAGGGGGUUUAUUAUACUGUUUUAUUUUUGCAUACAUUUGAAAGUUUCCAUAAUAUAAGGUUUUUAAAAAGUUUUCCAUAAUACAAUACAAAGUUUUAAAAUCUGCACAGAGAGUUGGAAACCUGGAUUGCAAUUCUGAAACUGGCUGCAAUUAUUAUUGGAUGCAUUCAGCUUCAAAAGACAGACUUAUAGAAUAUGUUAGUAUUAGGGGAACACUAUUUCUUUUCAAAUGUUUAGUUUUUAAGAGCUGCUACCUGUGAAAAAAGUUGGAAGUAGAUGUGAACAAAUGAUAUUGGACCUUUUGGUGAGAAAAGUCAGAGGAAUAAAGAUAGACUCUUUCAAUCUUAGUGCUGGAAGGAGCAGUAUAUGUUCGAGCUGGAAUAAAAGACAUCUUCCAGAGCAAAAAGAGUUGCAUUGCAUCUGCCCACUUUGUUCCAGGUUAUGAGAAAGUUCUGCUUAAGGACCACAAUCAAGCUGCAUGCCCCCAAAGCAGAGAAACUAUACUAAUUUGAGCCUGAAACCAAACCACUGAACUUUUUUUCUCCUGUAAACUUGAAUCAAGAUAGUUAAUUAAAAAAAGAAAGAAAGAAAGAAAAAAAGACCUCCCAUUAAGUGAAAUA